rnacentral:tRNA from 1 species
GGAGAAGUACCCAAGUGGCUCAAGGGGCGCCCCUGCUAAGGGUGUAGAUCGCGUAAGCGGUGCGAGGGUUCGAAUCCCUCCUUCUCCGCCA